AUGCUUCAGCAACACAUAUACUAAAACUGGAACUAUACAGAGCACAGUCCCUCUUGAAGGAUGACAAACAAAUUCACAAAGCAUUCCAUAUUUUU
rnacentral:snRNA from 1 species